ACCGUUACGACAGAAGCGUAUUGCGUUGAAUUGAGGGCUGUUUAACUCUUCAGCUGAACGUGAGUUUAGUGUACUGAGUUAAGUAGUUAUCCGUCGGUGCCUUUUCUGUGGGUGAUAUUGAGCCGCGGGAGAGGGAGGGAUCCCCUUUAUGGGUGAGGACGAUGGAGUGGCAACGCGAUGCGACCCGUCUUGAAACACGGACCAAGGAGUCUAACAUGUUUGCGAGUUGAAGGGUAGUAAACCUGGAGGCGCAGUGAAAGCGAACUUCUAAAACGGACAGUUUGUGGCGGCAUAAAAUCGUUGAUUUUAGGUCUGACUAAGAGCAAAUAUGUUAGGACCCGAAAGAUGGUGAACUAUGCUUGAGUAGGCCGAAGGCAGAAGAAAUUCUGCUGGAGGGCCGAAGUCGGUGCUGACGUGCAAAUCGCUCGUCGAACUCGAGUAUAGGGGCGAAAGACUAAUCGAACCAUCU
rnacentral:rRNA from 1 species